rfam:Camelus ferus unplaced genomic scaffold scaffold146, whole genome shotgun sequence.
GAGGGUGCAGCUCUGUGGUAGAGCACGUGCUUAGCAUGCACAAGGUCCUGGGUUCAAUCCCCAAUACCUGCA